GCCCCCACCGGGACGGGGCCCCGGGGCCAUGGCCUCGCGGGGGGCGCGGCCAGGAGUGGAGGCCAGCUCCGGGACCCGCUCCGGGACAGGGCGCAGAGGCCGCGGCGCAGGGGCGCGCGGAGCACGAGGGGCUCCCCGCGAAGGCCCACGCAGAUGGGGAGCCUAAGGCCGGGGUUAGGCGCCGGCGGAAGGGGGUUGGGAGGCACUGGGUUCCUGAGGCCCGGGCCAGCGUCCUGAGGGGCAUUCAGAAUCCUUGGCAAGGUCCUCCUGUCCAAGAGGCUUCUGCAGACGGCAUGAAAGGGCCUCCCUCGGGCAGAGCCUCUAAGCCCCUGGAGAGCAGGCCGCUGAGGGAGACCCUCCGGGGCUUCUGCACAUCCGAGGACAGUGACAUCAAUAUCACCAGUGGGGAAGAGGACCACAAGGAGCAGCCUUUCCCAGGCGUCUGCAACCCCAAAGCGAAGGAGAACAGUGGCCAUGUCCCCCGGGCUCUCCCGGACAGCCGGGCGGCACCACCAGAGGGCCUUUGCUGCUACAUCUGCGGGUCCCCGCUGUCCCCGGCCUCGCACCACCAGGUCCACGUGCAGAAGCAGGAGAAGCUGGCGCAGGCCCCGUUCUUCCCCUUCCUGUGGCUGCACAGCCCGCCCCCAGGGGCACAGCCCAUCAGUGAGGGCGGCAGCACCCUGGUGUGCGCCAGCUGCUUCUCCUCCCUCACGCAGCAGUGGCAGAGCUUCGAGCUGGCCAACGUGCCGGUGCUGCAGCGACUCUAUGUGGUGCCCCUGGACAGCCACGCCCCUGGCAUGGCCUCCAAGGGCAGGAGGCUCCCGAGAGAAGAGGGCCUGCCCUCCGGGGCCCUGCGAGAGGCCUGCUACCUUUGUGGGGAGGACUGUACCCCAGAUGCCCGGGCGGUCCCCUCCAGGAUCCUCAAUGGCAACGCCAGGAGCGCCAUGCAUUUCCCCUUCCUCAGCCUCCUUCCCUGCCCGCCCAACGCCCAGGGCCCCAACAAGCGCUGUGAGGUCCGCAGCUGCCCCAAGUGUUUCAGCGUCCUAGAGGAUGUCUGGGCCCUGUACAGGGCCUGCCAGAACGAGGAGCUCAUCACCUCCGUGCAGGGCUUCCUGGGCAGGUACCACCAGGCCUUCUCCGCCUCCGACCCUGCCCUCUCCGAGCUGCCCGCGUCAGCCCAGGGCGGCCCCGUGUCCAUCUGCUACAUCUGUGGGGCUGAGCUGGGCCCCGGGAAGGAGUUCCAGCUCAACGUGAACCCUGCCAGCCGCUUGGGCGAGAAGGAGCCCUUCUUCCCCUUCCUGACUGUGUACCCGCCUGCCCCUCGUGCCAGGCCUGUGGACUCCACCGGCCUGGUGGCCACCUGUGUGCUCUGCUACCAUGACCUGCUGGCCCAGUGGCUGCAGCAUGAGGCCCGCAGCACCCACCAUGCUGUCAGCGCCUGGUCCCGGCAGUACCAGGUGGAGACAUUCGUGUGCUUCUUUUGCCAGCAGGAGAAGAAACGGUGUCUGGGCCUGAAGUCCGUGCGGGUGGCCCGGCUGCCCCUGUUCCUAUACACCUUGCGAGCAAGCCACAGCCUGUUGGUGGAUGACGGACAGCAGCUGAUCAUUGGCGCUUGCGUGGAGUGUGGGACCCUGGUGUGUGCGGGUCAAGGGCUCAACCGCCAGGGACCCAUGAGCUGGAGCUCCCCAGUGGCAACAGCGACGAAGAGUGCUGAGUUGCUCUUCUCUUUGAAUUGCAAAGAGACAUCGAAAGGAAGCCCUCAGCUCUGAAGACCACCUAGCCGGAAUCUCAGAGCGAGAGCUGGGGACAGGAAGGGCUGACUCCUUCCACCAUUCUGUGGACCCCGAGUCCAGCCUCCGGGAGGACCCUGAGGGAACCUUUUGGGGCAGCCAGGACAGAGAAUGCCUUUUACUUUUUAAGGCUCUGGAUCAAAACAGACAAGCUCCCGGCUUCCUGGGCGUAGCAAUCCUUGAACAUCAGUGUGCAUUUUAAGCCAUAAAGCACAAUACUGAUUACAAACAGAAAUACGGAGGGCUUCCUUUAAACUGCUUCAGAAAACGAACUCCUCGGGGACUUUGAAAGCAGCUCUCAGCAUAGUUCCUGCAAUCCACUCUGAACAGGAAACCUUCUCAUCUGUUUAUUAAAACUGACCCCAGAAAGAUUUUCAACAGGGAAGCCUGGCUUUAUGUUGUGUAUAUCCACAAAGAAGAACAUGUAUUUUUAAAACACGCUGCCUGGGGAAGGCUCUCGCUCUGUCAAUGGUUCUUGAAUUCUGCCAGACAGCUGUUUCCUUCCUUUUAGUCUGAAUCAGAGAGGUUUGCAGCAAAAGCCGUUUUGGAGAGACCAGGUCAAGUUCAGCCUUCUCAGAUCCAAUUUUGCCGCUACCAUGACCCACAGGAGAAAUUCCUCCCAGCUUGGGAUUGUGCUGUCUCAGAUGACGUGACAGCGACAAGCCGUUUCGAGUGACUUGGGGCCUUUCAGAAGCACAGAUGCGCGGGAGGUCUGCAUUCAGGUUAGUGGCAGGUCACAAGGGCAGCUGUGGAGGCUCCAAAAUUGGCCUGGGAAUUGGGAUUCAGUUCCACAGGACGGGGUGGGGCCUGAGACUCUGCAUUUCUGACAGACUCCAAGGGGUUGCUGCAGCUGCUGGUCUCAGCUGGUUUUGCAUUAGCGAGGCUCUCGACCCAGGCCGCCCACAGGAAACCAGGAAUGCCAGCCAGAUACACAAUUUUAAAUUGUCCAGUAGCCGCAUUUAAAAAGUAAAAAGAGGCCGGGUGCCAUGGCUCACACCUAUAAUCCAGCACUUUGGGAGGCCGACCGGAGGAUUGCUUGAAGUCAGGAGUUCGAGAAUAGCCUGGACAACAUAGUGAGACCCCCAUCUCUACAAAAAAUGUAAAAGCCAGGCAUGGUGGCACGUGCCUGUGGUCCCAACUCCUCAGGAGGCUGAGGCAGGAGGAUCGCUUGAACCCAGGAGUUUGAGGCUGCCGUGAGCCAUGAUCACACCACUGGAGUCUAGCCUGGGCGACAGAGCCAGACCCUGUCUCUAAAACAAUAAUAAAUAAAUAAAUAAAUAAAUCAUAAGAACCGGGUGAGAUUAAUUUCAAGAUGAUAUUUUAUUUAAUUCA
rnacentral:lncRNA from 1 species